UACGUAGGGUGCGAGCGUUAAUCGGAAUUACUGGGCGUAAAGGGUGCGUAGGUGGUUGCGUAAGUUAGGUGUGAAAGUCCCGGCUUAACCUGGGGAUGGCGCCUAAUACUGUGUAGCUAGAGUACUGUAGAGGAAGGUGGAAUUUCCGGUGUAGCGGUAGAAAUGCGUAGAUAAUCGGAAGGAACAUCGGUGGCGAAGGCGACUUUCUGGAGCAGAUACUGACACUGAGGCACGAAAAGCAUGGGGAGCAAACAGG
rnacentral:rRNA from 1 species